GCAGUUUUAGUUGGAUAGGACGGUGCCCUGUCCCCGAGAUAAGCUUGGGCGUUAUAGCUACUUGGCCUACUGUCUUUGAACGCUGUUGUCUUACCUUUACCGUAAUUACCGUAAUUACCGUAAUUACCGAACGAGUAAUCAGGCUCUGGUUCCUUCGAGAGAUAGUUGUAACCAGCGUUAAGGGCAUAGUCUCCCAGGUACUUGUUAUAUUUGCUAUACUUCCCCGUGUUCGCUGUACUCGCCGUACCGUAUUGGGAAAGAUCGGAGGUUCCCCUCAAGUUAUUGAGCAGAGUACUACUACCGGCGGACAUUGGCAGGUACAUCGGAGAAACGUAAUCUCUCGCCCCGUUUCCAUGGCUGCCUCGCACGUAGCGAUUCUCGGGAUGAAGAGAGUAGACGUCGUUCGCGUACUUGCCGCUACCAGCUCCGAACACGCUCUCCUUGUGUUUCCCGUAAGAGUAGUCGGUGCUAGGACUGUUCAACAAGCUGGAAGGCUCUCUGGUGAACGUUUGAUCGCCGUCCAUGUAUCCUCCUGUGGCCGUCGUGUGGCCCCUGAACGCAUCCGCGGAAUAGUCUCUGAAAGAAGAACUUUCGGACGUCAGCCCGGGAAAGCUUCCGGUGCUGGUGGCUCCAGGCAAGUUGUCGGAGAAUCUCAUAUAUUCUGGACUCUUGUGUUUGCCGCUGGAGAACGACAUCGCCUGGUUGAACUCGGAUCCCGCUUGAUCCAUGCUCUGAGCAUACCCGCUGAAAGUCGAGUCCCCGUUGUUGUUGUUAUUGUUGUUGGCGUUCGUGUAGCUCUCGAACGACGAUUGAAUAGGAUCGUUCAUGAAGUAGGAGCUUGCACCGAGACUGUCACGCGCAUUACUGGAGAAUCCUUGGUAGCCAGGAUUGUGCGCGUUCUGCGAAAAUCCGCUGUAAGAACUGCCUCUCAGACUAUCCUCGAGGCUGGGUUGGCUUCUACCGUUGCUCAACGAUUGUCCACUGGUCCCGGCCGAGUAAAAGUCCGUGUUCUCUCUGUGGCCGUCCUUGAUGAUGUUGCUGUUGUACUCGAACGCAUUGUCCCCCGUGAUCGAGUAGCCUGCGUUAGACAAAGGUCGCUUGAGAAUUUAUCGUUUAGCAGAACUAUCUGAAAUUUUCUCGACGCGUAAUACGUACUGGUGACCGGUGGUUCGGCGCGCACUAACAGGAUGCUGCCGAAGAUCACCGCCUUCUAAAGUCAACAUACAUAAAGUAUAUUAUAGACGAUCCGACCACAUACGUACAUGCAUAAUUUUCUUUCGACUAAUCUUGUUCAACACGCUUAGACUUAUCGUACUCACAAGCGAAAUGAUUUUCGCCAUGGCAGGGGAGGUCCUGGAUUAGACGACGGAGCUUACGUGCCUACGGACCCGCUGCGAAGCCGGUGUUCCUUCACUAAAUUCAAACUACACACAUACUGGCAUGCGUGUCUGUUCCUUACGGUUUUAUACUCCUAGGAAUCCCUCCUCGCUCGCAAAAAGGGAAAGCAAUGGGUCAGUCGUGUGCCUGGCUAUUCAUAGUGAACUAUGAGCGGCAUGACCUACCUAGCAGUAAUUAGACUUUUUAAUACAUAUAGAAAAGUAUCCCUUUCACGAGGUACCGGUUACGAGAUUACAUCGAACCUGACGUUGCUGUCUCCAUUACCAUUGCCAUUGCCAUUGCCAUUGUCAUCCCGUGGCUACCGGAUAAUACAAUGAAAAAUCUUCAAACUUCUUAUUUUAAAUCGAGAUAAAGAUUAUUAUCGAUAUCUGGAAAUUGUCCAUUUUACUUCGGGACAUCUUGCUCUUCAGGUUUUUACAUUUUCACCUGAAGAUUCUUUCGCACAUACAUUACGUGCAUACGUCCACGUUGACCUAAUUUCUAUAAAUUACCAAUUACUAUUGUCAAGGUUUAUAGAUAUGCGUUUGUUACGGUACGUGGAUAGAUAGCUUUCGUUUGCGAAACGAAGGUGAAUUAUAUUACGCGGGUAUUCUGAGCCUAUUCUAACCGAUUGGAAUUAAUGCAUGUGAGAGAAAUGGAAGCUCUCUAAACGAAGGAGCAGCAUCGAAGGAAACGCGUUGAGCCCGAUCGAAAAUGUAGAUCACAAUAGAGAAUUGAAUCAUUCUCGUUACACAAUAUGUAUCUUCGUUUACGUUAUUGUUCGCGCGCCGAGAUAUCGAGUAGCUCGGUGCUUCUCGCGCGAUCUCGUCGUUAUCUUAACGGUACAAUGGCAUCGUCUUGGAUCGUCGCGUGGACCGGCUCGAAAUAUGAAGGAGGUUUAUGUUUCCCGAUUACUCCGAUUACCGGGAAUCUUGUUCUUUUAUUCUUUGCGAGGAUAAAGAGAAAAACAACUGUUUUCGCGCUGGUCAGUGAGAAUAACUCCUUAAGGCCAGCCUACUUAAAACUCGACGUGCUCCUAUUUUAAAACGCGCCGAUAGAAAAUGCUCGAAGAGAUCUCACCGAGGCGAGGGAUCGAAAUUCGUAAACAUCGGAAAGAGUGUAUACCGUGGCGAGGAUCGACGCGCGGCUCUACGAGGCUCGACGAGCCUCGCAUCCUGCAUAAAACGCAGGAGCACCAUGAAUACAAAUCACAUUUCGUCCAAAG